CAGAGUUUGAAUACAAUCAUAAAGGGCC
rnacentral:piRNA from 1 species